UAUUGAAACAGAUUUUACUUGUUAUUUUAAUCUCUUUCUUUCUUAUCCAUUUAUUUCUUUUCUUCUUUUGCUUAUGCAUUUCUUAUCCAUUUUUCUCCAAAUCUUUUUUUUCCUUUCACUUCUUCAACUUUAUUAGAAUGCCAUCCAGCACCGCCGCUGUCAUCACACCAUCGCCGUUGUUAGUCUCACCACUCCUGUAGCAGCACCUGAUUUUGGCAAAACUGCUCAUUACAACCUCGCCUCUAAAGCUGCCCUCUAUUACUGUCGUCAUUCCACCAUUAACCCUCACAGAAAAACCUAAGUUUAUGUCAAUAAGAUGAACUUUAUACAAGGAACUGAUUUUGAUAUGGGUUUUGAUAUGGAGAUGACGUGUACUUUUUGAUUUUAUGGGUUUUGAUCUUGACAUGAAAAACUUUUUUUAUUUCUACCGGCAUGCUUAUGAAUCAAAUAUAUUUUUUUUUUUCCAUGAGAAAUCAUGACAAUGGGUUUGUAUCUAGUUAGCUAUGGUGUGUAUUUUUUUGUAAUUAAUUUGUUGAAAUAUAUGUAAAGUGCUUGAUGAGCUUGAUAUGAUCAAUGGUGAAGAUGGAAUUGAUGGUAGUGGUUUAGUGAUCAAGAUGGAAGUAAUGAUAGGGGUGUCUAUUAGGAAGAUGGUGGCGAUUGCAGUGGUGUCUAUGGUGAAGACGUUGGCGAUGGGCGCGGUGGUUAAAUGGCAUAUGGUUUUAAUUAUUUAAUUUUUUAAGUUAUUUAUUUUUUUAAAAGGAAAUUAAUAAUAGAAACCAAAAGUUACUAGUUUUGUUAAUGUUAAUAAAUAAGUUUUUUGAAUUUUUGAUCUAUUGAAUGAAUUUUUGAAAAACUAUACUUGCACAGGCGCCACACCUGCAAAUACUUAAGAGUUAAAUGACUUGAAAUAAAAUGUUUUAGGCCUAUUUGCUAGAAAAGAUUGAAUUCGAUUUAUUUGAACUAUGGUGGAAAACUAUUCUCUUUUGGUGGAGACGCUGUGUAUGUUGUGGUGAAAUCAAUGCUAUACAUAAGAUAGAUCCUGAUAGGUUUGGUUACUUUGAUUUGGUUGAUGAGGUUCAGAAGUUAGGUUAUAACAAAUAUGAUAAACUGUGUUAUAGAGUUCCUAAAUUGUGAAUAUGUGAUGGGUUGAGAGAGUCAAAGGAUGAUGCUGGUGUUAUGGAGAUAUUAGACCAUAUAAGGCUAGGGAAUGGUAUAAUUAACUGUUAUAUGGAUGGGGGUAGUUGCUUGAAGGAAGUUGCUUGUGAUGAUAGGAACGAACAAGGAGUGAAGGAAGUGAGUGUGAAUGUGGACAAUGGUCAUGGUGAUCAGAAAGUUGUUGAUGAUUAUGAUGGGCUUAAAGUCAUCUUUGAUGAUGUAGGAGAUGAGGUUAGACCUGCUGAUGCUGAUGAAGAACAUGAGAAGCUGAUACUGAAGAUGGUGAUUACUGUCCCAUGCAGGAAAGUGACCCAGAUGGUGGACCGUCAGAUGAUGAGUUGGCCUCAGAUGAUGAGGAAUAUAUUGAAGCAAGGCAAAAUAAGGUUAAGUUUAGAAGAUAUAUGCCAGCUGAUGAAGUGGCAGAGAGGUUCAAUUUAUAUAGUGGUUUGAGGACUGGAGGAACAAGUGCAAACAAUCAAUCAAAAGAUGCGAUGCAUAGUGAAUUUGCAAAUUCUGAAGGUGAUGUUAAUUCAGACUGCAUCAGUGAUGAAGAUGAAGCUUGCAGUACAAAGAGAAAUAAAAAGGUAACUUAUGACCCUAAGUGUGAUUAAAAGUCUUUACAUUUUCUGCUGGGGAUGAGAUUUGAGAGUCCAGUUCAGUGUAAGCUUGUUGUGUAGAGCUAUGCAAUUAUGAAUGGCAUAAUGUGCAAAUAAUGAGAUGCAAAAGUAUAAAAAUGGAAGCAAGAUUUUACUUGGCUACCAUUGGAGGUCAUAUAGUUCUAUGAUUAGUAAGGAAAAGACUUUUGCCAUCAAGACCUACUUCAGAGAUCACAGAUGUAGUCGAGAGAUGAAGAAUAAACAAGCUAUUGCCUUUUGGGUAGCAUAAGAGUAUAUCCAUAGGUUCAGAAGAAACCCUAACUUGUCCAUGGACUUGAAAGAUGAUGUCUUGGACAAGCACUCAUUUGAAUGGAGUAAUUGGAAAGCAUAUAGAGCUAAGUGGAAAGCUCCUGAGAUGUUAAGGGGAUCUGUGUUGGGCCAUUAUGGAAGUUUAAGAUCUUAAAAAGCUGAGCUUAUGAGAGUUGAUAGGAAUGGGAGAUUUAAGUUCAUGCUUGAAGAAGAUUGUGUUUUUAAAGGUUUCUUUGUGGGUUUCAGUACCUUAACCAGGGGAUUUCUAACAGGUUAUAGGCAUAUUACUAGUUUUGAUGGAUGUUUCCUCAAAAUAUUUUUGGGUCGACCCUUAUUAUGUGCAACUGCUAAGGAUGGAAAUAAUAAGAUGUUCCUAAUAAUGUUGGGCUGUAAUAGAGGCAGAAAAUGAAUUCUAUUAGACAUGGUUUAUAAAACUAGUGAUGGAAGAGCUACACAUGACAUAUGGGUUGGGUUGGUCCUUCAUUAGUGAUCAGCAAAAGGGUCUUAUCAAUGCCAUCCAUAAAUUGGCCCCUUUUGCAGAGCAUAGAAACUGUGCCAGACAUGUUUACUACAACUAGAAGAAAGAGUUCAAAGGACAAGUCCUUAAAAACAUGUCCUGGAAAGGUGUAAGGUGUACAAUUGAAGCCUCCCUGAAACAAGCUUUGAAUGGAUUAAAGGCAGAAAAUGAAGUUUCAUACAGUGACUUCUUUGCCAGAAACCCCAUAAAAUAUUGUAAGGCCCAUGUCUCUGAACUACAAAAAUGUGAUAUGAUAGACAAUAAUGUGAGUGAGACUUUUAAUGGGUAUAUACCUAAGGCUAGAGGCAAACCCUUAAUUGAUAUGCUUGAAGAUAUAAGAUGUGCAUUUACAGAGAAAGAACACACUAAGUUAAUGCAAAUGAGUGACAUCACUGAUCAUAUAUGCCCUAGGAUUAGAGACAAGCUAGAACAAAAUAGAUAUAACAGUAGAUUGUGUGUGACUAAGCCUGCAGUAGGUUAGAAUUUUUAAGUUUCAAAUAGAAAUAAUUGCUUUGUUGUUGACUUGAAUGCAUGGACAUGUAGUUGUAGGGCCUGAAAUAUUACUGGAAUACCAUGCAUGCAUACUUGCUCCAGUAUUCACUUUAUGAAAAAAGAUUGCACAAACUUUAUGGACUCUUAUUAUAGUGUAUAAAGGUAUAUAGACACAUAUUAGCAUGGUCUACAACCACUUAAUGGUAAAAAGAUAUGGCUUGAAGCUGCUGGCAAUCCAAUUAAGCCUCAUCCUCAUAAGAAGAUGCCAGGGAGACUAAAAAAUAAGAAAAGGGCACUUGAGGAAGAGCCGAAGAAUCUAAACAAGCUGUCAAGAAAUGGAAUUGAAAUGACAUGCCAGAGGUGUUUCAAGACUGGGCAUAACAAACACAGUUGUGUGAAUCCAAUGAUUGAAAGGCCACCAAAGGGUAAAAGAGGUAGACCUGUAAAGAAGCCAACAUAAAUUUCACCACCAAUAUGAGAAUCCUCAGCACCCAAAACUAUGCCAGAACUCAACCAAAGAAAGAAAUAUGUCAAGCAUAAGACCACUGGGUAGAAGAGCCAACAAUUAAAAGAACUAUCCAAGAAUCCUGUCGAGUCAUCUUCAGCACAAUCAAGUCAAUUAACUGCAUCUAAACAUUAUCAUAGAGAAAGGGCUAUGUUAACUUUAAUGUCAAUUGUACAAUUGUGUUCGUUUAUUAUUAAUGUUUGUUAAUUCUUCUAAGUAUGAGACUGUUUAUUUUAUUGCCAAACCAAGCAGGGAUAUGGUGUUAGAAUCUUUGAAGAAUUCGGAAACAUGUUUAUAAGGAUGCCUGGUCAAACUAAUGUGAAGUAUGUUCAUAAUGCUAGAGAAGCAGCAAAGGCAGCUUCUGCUAUGACAACUGUUGUUGCCAGCUCUACACCUUAAUAUGCCAGACUUACAGCUCAUUCUCAAGCCACAUUCCCUGCUGUUAGAAUGGAAGAGUUGCAAGAGGAAGAGGGAAUUCUAGGCGAGGGAGAACUGAAAAUGCUUCGCAGACUUCUACAAACUAUUCAAUUGGAGUUCCCAACAUAAUUGGAAGUCAAGAGAGUUAAGCUACUUAGAUUCAUUUAGGUCAUUUGUAUGUAAACCAGUUUUUUGUCACAUUCACUUCUCAAACUUUGUAUGUGAACAUAUAAUAGGCACAUAACGUGUUUUGUCAAUCUUUUAUCAAUGUUGUGUAUAUGAACAAGGUAUAUCAUUUAUGCCAAUGCACAGUUCUAAAUCUUUACAAAGAAUUUUUUUGCUAA